GAGCUCAUUUUGGCAGCACAUAUACUAAAAUUGGAACUAUACAGAGAAGUUUAGCAUGGCCCCUGCACAAGGUUGACACCCAAAUUUGUGUAGCAGUUCAUAUUUUU
rnacentral:snRNA from 1 species